rnacentral:rRNA from 1 species
UACGUAGGUGGCAAGCGUUAUCCGGAAUUAUUGGGCGUAAAGCGCGCGCAGGUGGUUUCUUAAGUCUGAUGUGAAAGCCCACGGCUCAACCGUGGAGGGUCAUUGGAAACUGGGAGACUUGAGUGCAGAAGAGGAAAGUGGAAUUCCAUGUGUAGCGGUGAAAUGCGUUGAGAUAUGGAGGAACACCAGUGGCGAAGGCGACUUUCUGGUCUGUAACUGACACUGAGGCGCGAAAGCGUGGGGAGCAAACAGG